rnacentral:tRNA from 1 species
AGAGAGGUGGCCGAGUGGUUUAAGGCGCACGCCUGGAAAGCGUGUUGGCAGCAAUGCCUCGAGGGUUCGAAUCCCUUCCUCUCCGCCA